UGAACGCUGGCCGGCAGGCUUAACACAUGCAAGUCGACCGGGGAAAAGUAGCUUGCUACUUGACCUAGCGGCGGACGGGUGAGUAAUGCUUAGGAAUCUGCCUAUUAGUGGGGGACAACAUCUCGAAAGGGAUGCUAAUACCGCAUACGUCCUACGGGAGAAAGCAGGGGACCUUCGGGCCUUGCGCUAAUAGAUGAGCCUAAGUCGGAUUAGCUAGUUGGUGGGGUAAAGGCCUACCAAGGCGACGAUCUGUAGCGGGUCUGAGAGGAUGAUCCGCCACACUGGGACUGAGACACGGCCCAGACUCCUACGGGAGGCAGCAGUGGGGAAUAUUGGACAAUGGGGGGAACCCUGAUCCAGCCAUGCCGCGUGUGUGAAGAAGGCCUUUUGGUUGUAAAGCACUUUAAGCGAGGAGGAGGCUACCGAGAUUAAUACUCUUGGAUAGUGGACGUUACUCGCAGAAUAAGCACCGGCUAACUCUGUGCCAGCAGCCGCGGUAAUACAGAGGGUGCAAGCGUUAAUCGGAUUUACUGGGCGUAAAGCGCGCGUACGUGGCCAAUUAAGUCAAAUGUGAAAUCCCCGANCUUAACUUGGGAAUUGCAUUCGAUACUGGUUGGCUAGAGUAUGGGGAGAGGAUGGUA
rnacentral:rRNA from 1 species